ACCAAUCACAGUGCAGAAGCAAUGUCAUGUGACAUAUUUCGCCCACGUAAUUCGUUGUAGUUGGGCUGGGUCUUAUUUUGUGUUAGAUAAACCACAGGACAUAACCCACAUUCACUUGAUAGUUACGCAACUUUGGUCAACCGCACAAACCACAAGAUGAUGUCAUGCAACUAAUUAAAAUUCCACAAGAACAACUCGCAGAUUGGCAGUUGACCAGUCCCAAUCCUCAAGAUAGUGAUGAUGGGAGUGGCCAGCGAGUCUAGUGUCCAUUAUUUAGAGGGUCUCAUCUAAUUGGAGGUACAUGUAACUCUAUCUGAUAGCCUCGUGGAAUCAGCUAUACUAUAGUACUCUACGUUGCUAAGCACCACUCUAAAUAAUAUUAUAAGUGCCAAACUGGAAUUAUGGUUUUUUCUUGUUCUAUUUGUGCGCCACUGAAAAUCUUUAACGGCGCUGUAAUUAGAAGAAAGACGGUAUAUUGUGAGACGCCAACUGCCCAGAGGGAAACCACGCCAUUUGCAAAAAUAUGCCUAAUUCCCUCUCACAUCUAAAGUUCUUUCAAAAUGGUGGUCGUACUUUUUUGAAGGUACUAUAAUUAUUGUUGUAAGAAUUGAUGUGAAAAAAAAUUGCAGGAUGAUGUUGAAAGUGACAUGUGUUGGAGAGAGCAUUAUACUGGACACCCUUGUAUGACCAGACCACUGUAAAGUAUCGACACAAUUGGAGGUGAUGCUUAGAAGUCAAAGGCAGUAUCUUACAAUUGCAGUGAACCGAGUGCAGACUUGCUAUGGUUAACUAACUAUGUUUAAAAAAACCUUUCACUUUUAUAUCCUCAUCGUUUGUUUAAUACAAUUUUAAUACUGUAUUGAUGUAUUGUUGUUUGUAAUG